UGCCAGCCGCCGCGGUAAUACGGAGGGUGCAAGCGUUAUCCGGAAUUACUGGGUUUAAAGGGUACGUAGGCGGCCGUAUAAGUCAGAGGUGAAAUCCUACAGCUUAACUGUAGAACUGCCUUUGAAACUGUAUGGCUUGAGUACUGUAGAGGUAUGCGGAAUUUAUGGUGUAGCGGUGAAAUGCAUAGAUACCAUAAAGAACACCGAUUGCGAAGGCAGCAUACUGGACAGUAACUGACGCUGAUGUACGAAAGCGUGGGUAGCGAACAGGAUUAGAUA
rnacentral:rRNA from 1 species